GAUAAACGCUGGCGGCGUGCCUAAUACAUGCAAGUCGAGCGAACAGACGAGGAGCUUGCUCCUCUGACGUUAGCGGCGGACGGGUGAGUAACACGUGGAUAACCUACCUAUAAGACUGGGAUAACUUCGGGAAACCGGAGCUAAUACCGGAUAACAUGUUGAACCGCAUGGUUCAACAGUGAAAGACGGUUUUGCUGUCACUUAUAGAUGGAUCCGCGUCGCAUUAGCUAGUUGGUAAGGUAACGGCUUACCAAGGCAACGAUGCGUAGCCGACCUGAGAGGGUGAUCGGCCACACUGGAACUGAGACACGGUCCAGACUCCUACGGGAGGCAGCAGUAGGGAAUCUUCCGCAAUGGGCGAAAGCCUGACGGAGCAACGCCGCGUGAGUGAAGAAGGUCUUCGGAUCGUAAAACUCUGUUAUUAGGGAAGAACAAAUGUGUAAGUAACUAUGCACGUCUUGACGGUACCUAAUCAGAAAGCCACGGCUAACUACGUG
rnacentral:rRNA from 1 species